CCUAAGCACAAAAACUCCAACAAACUAGCAAGCACACAACUCAUCCUCCUCCUCUAUAAGAUGAAGUCAUUGCAUCUCCCUCUUUGAUCGAUAUUGUUCCUUUUCCUCAUGAUAUGUUGAUCCCUUCGCUCAUUCGAACAAUUUCUACAGCAGAGUUGAUUAUCCUUACACUGCUUUCUCAAGUGGAGUAGAAAUCAAAAUGAUUAAAGCAAAGAAUCAACGGUUUGCUUGCAUUGAGAAUACACAAGAAGACAUUGUUGGACUGAUCGCUACUAAGUUUGAAACUCAACGAUGUCCAUCACCACUAUGGAGAGUUAGAACUAGGGGUGUUCACUAUGCGAUUUGGCUCAAUUUUGAAUCAAACAAUCAUCUGAUCCAAAUAUUAAAGUAUUCGUGGUUUGGUUUGGUUUGAAUUUCUCCCUUAGAAAAACCUGAUCUGAACCAAUUUAAUGUGGUUGAAAUUGGACAAGUUUUCAAUUAAUCAAAUCACAAUUUGAAAAACUAUUUUGAUACUUAUACAGUAAGACUACAUACAAAUAUAUUUUAUGUAAAACUUCUAAAUAAAAAACAUAUUUUAUGUAAAAUUAAAAUGCCUCAACUUAAACAUAUUGUAAGUAUAUAUACUUAUUAGGCACAAGAGAUUCACUAACAUUUAAACACAAGGUAAGUUCGUAAAAAAAUGUAAAGUGAGUUCAAAUACAAAGUCAUUUGUAUGAGUGUUGUUUUAGCCUAAUAUUUUUUUACUCCUUUAAUGAUCUACAUGAUCUUGGUAGCUUUAGCAUUGAAAAAUACAAAGUAGUAAAUUUAAGGGAAUAUGAAAUGAUCAAAGCAUCACAACCUUAAGAGAUUGGUAAAUUAUUGAUUCUACGUAGGUGUGGUUUGGCUUGAAUUUGUAGUUGUACAAAACCGAACCGACCGGUUCUUGUUCAAAGUAGCCCAAACACAUCCAAAAUAUAUCCAUUUUGAGCGGUUUUUCCAUUAUUUUGGAUCGGUCUAUGAUUCAUUUUUCGAUUGUGGAUUUGAACAUCCCCAAUGAUAAAAUCAUGAAUCUUUGUCGUAACCUUCUCCUCGUCUUCCUAGACACACUCAAGUAU
rnacentral:lncRNA from 1 species